rnacentral:lncRNA from 1 species
UUGCAUUUUAUUUAGUACCUACAGUCCAACAGCAACAACUGGCGCUGGUUUGAUGACCGCUCUGGGCGUUGGUGUAGUUACAGUGCUAGCAACAACAGCACCAUUGAUUCUGCCUGGAAAUCUGGAGAAACAAGUGUAAGAUUCACUGCAGGCCGACGAAGAUACACUGUUCAGUUCACUACAAUGGUGCAGGUUAAUGAAGAAACAGGAAACCGACGUCCUGUGAUGCUAACUCUCCUCAGGGUGCCAAGACUGAGUAAGAACUCAAAAAGCAGCAAUGGACAGGAACUAGAGAAGACACUGGAAGAAAGCAAGGAGACCGAUAUCAAACGUAAAGAAAAUAAAGGCAAUGAUAUCCCCUUAGCUCUAGAGAGUACGAACACUGAAAAAGAUGCAAGCCUAGAAGAAACAAAAAUUGGGGAGAUCCUAAUCCAGGGCCUGACAGAAGAUAUGGUGACCGUUCUAAUCCGAGCCUGUGUGAGCAUGCUGGGAGUCCCUGUGGGCCCGACCACUUUGCAUGCACC